UGCGCUACCAAUCAGAAGAAAAGAAGUAGAUGGGGGAAACCCUAUAAAACGGGGGGCAAGUGCCCAGAAGGCAUUGAAACAGCGCAGAAAGGAAGCGCAGAUAAAAAGAAAGAUCCAAUCAGUUGUCUCAAGAAGUCUUUGUUACCACGCCCGCGAAUAAAUUAAAGAAAAGGACUUUGUCAGAAUUUCUCAUCGGCUCUUGUUCAAAGUUGAACUUAGAAAAUUUUCGAAAAGUAAGCUCACUCAAUAUCUCAGACUCAACCAAAGCGGAAAUUCCAAUUAUAAUUACAACAAAUAUAAUUAUAAAUAUUGUAACCUAUCUCGGAGCGAGCAUUUGUAACUGCUCGAAACCUACGACGACGCUUCGACCCGGACCAUUGUAAAGCAAAUAUAAGAGGGAACAACCAGUACCUUCCAAUAAAGAGUAACAUCAAUUAACCCACCAAGGAAAAACCCUGGACGUAACAAGGGAACAACCAGUACCUUCCAAUAAAGAGUAACACCAAUUAACCAAGCAAGG